rnacentral:snRNA from 1 species
AUCGCUUCUUGGCCUUUUGGCUAAGAUCAAGUGUAGAACCAGUGUUGUUCCAUGUCCAGUUCUAACUCUUGCUUCCUGACCUGCAUACAGAUUUCUCAGGAGGCAGGUCAGGUGGUCUGGUAUUCCCAUCUCUUGAAGGAUUUU